rnacentral:rRNA from 1 species
CCCUUAGAUGUCCGGGGCCGCACGCGCGCUACACUGAAGGAAUCAGCGUGGCUCUGUCCCUGGUCCGAAAGGAUUGGGAAACCCGUUGAAUCUCCUUCGUGAUAGGGAUUGGGGCUUGGAACUGUUCCCCAUGAACGAGGAAUUCCCAGUAAGCGCGAGUCAUAAGCUCGCGUUGAUUACGUCCCUGCCCUUUGUACACACCGCCCGUCGCUACUACCGAUUGAAUGGUCCGGUGAAGCGUUCGGACCGUGGCCUUUGGACGGUUCGCCGUCUGUUGGCUGCGGGAAGUUCGUUAAACCUUAUCAUUUAGAGGAAGGAGAAGUCGUAACA